rnacentral:rRNA from 1 species
CAUCGAUGAAGAACGCAGCGAAAUGCGAUACUUGGUGUGAAUUGCAGAAUCCCGUGAACCAUCGAGUCUUUGAACGCAAGUUGCGCCCAAGGCCUUCGGGUUGAGGGCACGUCUGCCUGGGUGUCACGC